UUUGAAAUCUGCGCGGGCCCCGGAGGCUGUGGAGGUUGAGGAGCUCCGCGGCUUUCUCACUCUCAGUCUGCCGAUACUGCUCGUGGGUGUAUUUCACACACUGAGAUUCCCAGUGCAUGCGAGCAGUCUUCAAAAUGGGUUUGGGCCAAUUUGAUAGUUAAGAUCAAAAACCAAUUGGGGACAAGGACCUUCAGCAUCCGGACACACGGAUUCAAAGCAUUAGCACCAAUCUCCAACACCCUACAUGGUCCUGUCACCACUGUUGCAAACCUGAUUCUACUAAACUGGACUGCUGGUGUAUCCGUGAAGUGUUUGCAAACGGAUCGAGCUGCUGCCGCCUGCUAACCUGUGAACUGAACUGCUGAUUUCCAGACAACACAGACAGGAGUUGCUCAAAAAAAAAAAAAAAAAAAAAAAAAAACAACAAAAAAAAAAACAACCUUUCUAAACAGGUCCACUUCCC
ensembl:lncRNA